GAUGAACGCUGGCGGCGUGCUUAACACAUGCAAGUCGAACGAAGCACCUUAUUCUGAUUUCUUCGGAAUGAAAAUUUGGUGACUGAGUGGCGGACGGGUGAGUAACGCGUGGGUAACCUGCCUCAUACAGGGGGAUAACAGUUAGAAAUGGCUGCUAAUACCCCACUAAGACCACAGCACCGCAUGGUGCAGGGGUAAAACGUACCGGUGGUAUGAGAUGGACCCGCGUCUGAUUAGGUAGUUGGUGAGGUAACGGCCCACCAAGCCGACGAUCAGUAGCCGACCUGAGAGGGUGACCGGCCACAUUGGGACUGAGACACGGCCCAG
rnacentral:rRNA from 1 species